rnacentral:rRNA from 1 species
AUGACCUGCGUCCGUUCGGUCAGAUAUGCAGUUAAAUUGAAUGGGGAAGUGUUGGAACCAUUUUAUCCUUCGAGGGGGCUUCGUCAGGGAGACCCCUUAAGCCCGUACCUUUUUCUGUUUGUUGCUGAAGGUUUAUCCCGCGCACUUGAAGCAGAAUGCAAUGCGUCGAACAUUACUCCCCUGAAGGUUGCAAAAGAAGCUCCAGGAAUUUCACAUUUGUUGUUUGCUGAUGAUAGCUUGCUUUUCUUUAAAGCGGAAGGGGGACAAGCAAAGAGUGUUAAGUCUGCCCUAAAUGUUUUCCAGAGAGGUACGGGCCAACUUUUGAGUCCUAGUAAGUGCUCGAUCCUUUUUAGUAGCACCUGCCCAGAGGAAAUCCAGGAAGAGGUCUUAAAUACCCUGGAUCUCACAUCUUCUACUUUUGAGGAAAAGUACCUUGGCCUCCCUACACCGGAAGGAAGGAUGAAAGAAUCUCAUUUCCAACCAAUCUUUGAGAGGUUCACGAAGAGACUUACUGAUUGGUCAGAAAGAUUCAUGUCAUAUGGUGCAAAAGAUAUCCUGAUAAAGUCUGUUGCCCAAGCUUUACCCACUUAUACCAUGAGUAUUUUCAAGAUGAGUGCAGGUUUUUGUGAUAAAUAUGAAAAGUUGGUGAGAGACUUCUGGUGGGGAGACAAGAAGAAUAAAAGAAAGGUACAUUGGAUGUCCUGGGAAAAAUGA